AAAUUUGAGGUUGGGAAUCACUUCUGUUGGAGUAUGGCUCCCCAUGGUGCCCUUGCCAUUCACUGAGUCAUUUAAAUUUCAAUGAGGAGAAACAGACCAUCCGACCGGUAUCGAUCUCUCGUUACUGCUGAUUGUUUAAUAUAUUGCAGCAAUCUCACAGACUGGAAGCGGACAUGAUUAUGGCGAGCGAGAGAGAAGGCAGGCAGAACACCGAGAGUGGGAGGGAGCUGUCGAAUUAAAGUUAAUUGAUGCACUUCCCUCUGGACAAAUGGGACUAAAAUUUCAAAAAUCAAAUCACAGAAGAUGACCCCUGUGCUGAGCGUGUGCAGACUGCAGCCACUGAGCAGCUUGUGGAUUUUGAUCCACUCAUUGAUGAGCAGCCAGAGGCAGAAAGCUGUUGAAGACAGAUUUGAGUCAGUUUUGGGGACAGAUCAACAAUGUUGUGCUCAGGGAUUGGUGUCCGGACCGUUGCUAAUUACAAUAUUCAUGAACUAGAUGGUAAUACUAUCAGUCGUAAACUUGUGGAAAAUUCCUUCAAGAAUCCCCGUGUGGUGAAAACCUUUCAAUUGGAAAUCAAAGCUAGCAGUACCUGCUGUUCGCCAGAGGGAGGCAGGAGAUACACAUCAGUACUAGUCUUUGCUCCCC